rnacentral:lncRNA from 1 species
GCUGAGCACAAUGUAGGCGCUCUAAGACUAAUGAAAGAAUCAAAUCAGGUGUGUGAGUGAUUCAGCAAGAAGUUGAAUUAGAGCCAGCUGCUUCGUCUGAGUUGGGUUAAGUCAGAGGGGGAGGGUUGAUAUUGGGUAAUCAGAACAAAACGAGCUGGAGGGCCAGCCACCUGCUUAGUCGGAGUAAGAAUGCCUGCAGAGACCUGGACCAGAGUGGGCAGAAUGGAGGCCUAUUAUAGGAGACAUAUUGCUCACCCUUCACGAGAGGUCAAACACCUGAGUUAAAUUUUGGAAAGCUUCUAUAUACCUAUCAGGAUCUUCAGAAAAUCAGACUAAGCCUCCUUUUAUUUGCCUAAGGACCUGCAAUGAGAAGGGAACUUGAACCCUAGUGGCAUCACCUCCAUUGGGAAUUUCCUAUAGGGGGCCUAAAUAGUGUUCCUUGGAGAGAAAAUUACCCUGGGAAUGAAUAAACAAGAGCAAUGCAAAUGAUAUCCACGACUGUUACAGAUGCUUCGUGGAGGUUCAAAAAGACUACAGAUCAAGGCCAGUGACCUUCUACACAUGGUGGACACUCCAGCCUCUGCUCAAUCUCCAUCCACACUUAAAGGAAAUAGCCAACUCUUGGCCAACCUUCAGGCCUGGGAAGAGGCUCAAGCAGACACUGAAGACGGACUUAAGGCUAUACGAUGUCCGGAAGUGGUGGGUUCUUGGUCUCACUGACUUCAAAAAUGAAGACGAAGACGUGGACUCUGGCGUACACAGAAAUGCUCUCCAUACCUUGCCACUGCUGCUGGGAAGGAACAGGGGAGGAGUGACAUUGAGAUUCAAGACUAUUUUUCCUACCUCUUCAGUGCCUCUUUCAGCCAUAUGAAGUUAAAACCAGGUAAUGUGAGUGCUGAUCUGAUUUCUGAUUCAUUUGAAGGUGCUUUUUCUAUGUGUAGAUAGUUGUUAAAUUGAUAUCUUUGGGGGGUGACAAGCAGUAAAGCCUUCUAUUCUGCCAUCUGGCUCUACUCCUGUCUCUCAAUAAUUGCUUAUGGAUUAGGAGCUGAGGCACAGCUUUGGUGGAUCAUUUCCUCAAAAUCUUAAACAGUUAUAAUUAAGCUGUUGGUGAGAAUUGUAGGGUCAUGUAAGGCUCAGCAUCCUCUCCCACACUCAUAGGGGGUCCUAUUAGUAGAAUUCAGCUUCUUGCAGCUGUAGGACUGAGACCCUCAGUCUCCAGAGGCUGCCCCUCUGCACAGGCAGUUCACAACAUGGCUGUUUGCUUUCAUCCUUGAACCCUGCAGGAAAGUAAUCUUUCAGUCUCUUUUAAGGGACUCCCCAGAUUAGGUCAAACCAAUGCAAAAUAAUCUGUGGUUGAAUAACUAAAAGCCAACUAAUAUGGACCUUUAUUGAAUCUCCAAAAUUUCUUCACCUUUGCAAUGUAACUUAAUCACAAGAGAGAAACACAUCAUUUUCACAGGUCUCACCCGCACUUAAUUAUGGGAGGGGAUUAUAUAUAAGGUGUAUGCCAUGGGUUAUUUUGGGACCAGCUUAGAAUUCUGUGCACAGACUGUUUUGCCAUAUACCAAAAGAUUAGCCCAGAGUCAUUUAAAUUUUUUGGGGGGUGGAUAGGGGGAAUAUCGGUGAUGGAAAGAAC